rnacentral:rRNA from 1 species
UACGGAGGGUGCAAGCGUUACUCGGAAUCAUUGGGCGUAAAGCGCACGUAGGCGGUCUUUCAAGUCCGGCGUGAAAUCCUGGGGCUCAACCUCAGAUGGCCGUUGGAAACUGAAAGACUUGAGAGUGGAAGGGGUCAGUGGAAUUCCUGGUGUAGGAGUGAAAUCCGUAGAGAUCAGGAGGAACACCGGUGGCGAAGGCGACUGACUGGGCCAUUUCUGACGCUAAUGUGCAAAAGCGUGGGGAGCAAACAGG